AGGAAAUGUUGCAUGAACAAUAUUGACAAGGACUCUUACAUAUUAGAAGAAAGACAAAGCAGACCCUGAAGAAAGAUCUUUGCCUUGAAACUGUGGCCCAUGCUGUCCAACCAGCAUUCAGUGAGACCCAACUCAGUUUAUUUUACUGGAGUUUUCUGGGACACUGCUGACAGCAUGAUCUUCCUUGGAAGCUGAGAUAAGAAAACUAAAAGUCAGAGAAGUCACGGUUCUUAACGCUGAUAAAUGGAAGGUGCGAGAUUUAAAACUAGCUCUUUCUGACAACAAGGCCCAUGAGCUUAACCACUAUCCUAUAGUGUUUCUCAACUAAAAGAAAAAAGAAUUUUGGAAGAUAAAAAAGGAGCGUAUUUCACAGAAGAAACCUCAGACAGGAGGUCAAGGGAUAAAAUAUUAAGAGGAAAACACUCAAGACUGAAGAGGUCAAAAGAUCUCUAGGUCAGUGCCAUCCAUCCAGUAGGGAAGGAAAGCUAGCUGAGUCACUUUCUGCUUGUUGACAAUAUAUACUGGUGACUCAAUAACUCAUUUGCUUUCAGACUCCCACCCCAGCAAAAAAUAACUGGCCCCAAGGACAAGCUGAGAGACAACAAGAGUGUCCCAGGCUCCUGAUGUCCUGAGGUGUUACUCCAGUGCUUUUCACCUUCCGAUAGACACCAAAACCCUCACAAGAAUCACCAAGUAAGCGUUCUGAA